rnacentral:lncRNA from 1 species
UUUCUUUCCUGGCUUAGGCUGGGAGGCACAGCGCCCGUGUGCUGGAGGCGAGUUGGCUCCGGGUGGGGGAGGCUGGGGUUCCAAACCAGGGCAGGGGAAUGGUGGCCCUGCGUGGCUCGUGGACCUCUCUCAGGGACCCCUCUCAGCAGGGGCCGGAAAAGCAGGCCCACACCCAGUGGUCAUUGCAGGAACUUCACUUGAGCUGGUCUGCUUGUGAGCCUGUGGUUUGGAGAGGAGAAGACGCACUUCCCCAUGAGAAAAAGGUGGUCAUCCCCAUGGGCUCCACAGAUGAGGACACCGGCCCUCAGCUCUGCCCCCUCUCAGAAGCCUUCCUCACCUGGGGGUUCUGGGUGAAGGGAGCUCCCCGCCAGAGACUCAUGUGGGAUCGUGUGUGGACCGUAGAGCCACAGAGCGUCAUCUGUAAGCCAGUUUAGAUCCAGGCUUUAACUUCAGUUUCCUGUGUGACCUUUGAGAAGCCAUCCCUCCAAGUGCUUCCUUUGAAGGGUGAGCCCUGGGUGCCUCUCUCUGAGGGAGGCCCUUGCUCCAUCUGGGCUUGACUGUGCCACGGGGGAUCAGAAGCAACAUACAUUCUGUCAGCAGCUGCCGGAAAUGCUGGAGCAGCAGUCCUGGAGGCGGGGUGAAGCAGUCCCUGGCUUUUGGAGGAGGCGUGAGAAGAAAUUCAUGGGGGGCUUUAAUUCUUUUCAGAUUCCCAACCAUUUUCUUCUAGCUGCUACUGCCUGCAUUUGUGUAACUUAGUUUGCAACACAGGUGACAAGCUUUC